rnacentral:piRNA from 1 species
UUAAAAUGUAGAAAUCUGCCUAACCAG